rnacentral:rRNA from 1 species
AUGAACGCUGGCGGCGUGCCUAAUACAUGCAAGUCGAGCGAACAGAUAAGGAGCUUGCUCCUUUGACGUUAGCGGCGGACGGGUGAGUAACACGUGGAUAACCUACCUAUAAGACUGGGAUAACUUCGGGAAACCGGAGCUAAUACCGGAUAACAUAUUGAACCGCAUGGUUCAAUAGUGAAAGGCGGCUUUGCUGUCACUUAUAGAUGGAUCCGCGCCGUAUUAGCUAGUUGGUAAGGUAACGGCUUACCAAGGCAACGAUACGUAGCCGACCUGAGAGGGUGAUCGGCCACACUGGAACUGAGACACGGUCCAGACUCCUACGGGAGGCAGCAGUAGGGAAUCUUCCGCAAAGGGCGAAAGCCUGACGGAGCAACGCCGCGUGAGUGAUGAAGGUCUUCGGAUCGUAAAACUCUGUUAUCAGGGAAGAACAAAUGUGUAAGUAACUGUGCACAUCUUGACGGUACCUGAUCAGAAAGCCACGGCUAACUACGUG